rnacentral:rRNA from 1 species
GUAAUGCUUAGGAAUCUGCCUAUUAGUGGGGGACAACAUCUCGAAAGGGAUGCUAAUACCGCAUACGUCCUACGGGAGAAAGCAGGGGACCUUCGGGCCUUGCGCUAAUAGAUGAGCCUAAGUCGGAUUAGCUAGUUGGUGGGGUAAAGGCCUACCAAGGCGACGAUCUGUAGCGGGUCUGAGAGGAUGAUCCGCCACACUGGGACUGAGACACGGCCCAGACUCCUACGGGAGGCAGCAGUGGGGAUUAUUGGACAAUGGGGGGAACCCUGAUCCAGCCAUGCCGCGUGUGUGAAGAAGGCCUUUUGGUUGUAAAGCACUUUAAGCGAGGAGGAGGCUACCGAGAUUAAUACUCUUGGAUAGUGGACGUUACUCGCAGAAUAAGCACCGGCUAACUCUGUGCCAGCAGCCGCGGUAAUACAGAGGGUGCAAGCGUUAAUCGGAUUUACUGGGCGUAAAGCGCGCGUAGGUGGCCAAUUAAGUCAAAUGUGAAAUCCCCGAGCUUAACUUGGGAAUUGCAUUCGAUACCGGUUGGCUAGAGUAUGGGAGAGGAUGGUAGAAUUCCAGGUGUAGCGGUGAAAUGCGUAGAGAUCUGGAGGAAUACCGAUGGCGAAGGCAGCCAUCUGGCCUAAUACUGACACUGAGGUG